UCUACAUUCAUGCCUUGGAGACCAAGGACUUUUCCUUCCCAUUCACUCUUCUUGACUAUACAAAUCAGUCAUGGUACCAAUUGGAAUUCAAAUCAGAAAAUCAAAACCAAUUUUCAAUUCUAAUUUUCCUCUCUGUUUCGAACCAUCACCACCAUCAACAACCACUGCAACCACCAUCUUCAGCCAUCUCCGCCACCAUUACCCGCCUCACCUACCACCCAGCACCACCACCGCAACACCUUCCAUACUCCUCCCCUCCCCGCACGCACUCCACCACCGUCCCCUGCUUCCCCGCUUCGCACUCCCCUGCCUCUCUCCUUCUUACCUCUUUGCUGUACCACCGACGCCACACCACCACACUCCAACCACCUUCAUCAAUAACCGCCCCAAACCCCGGCGAGCCGCCGCCCAAAACCACCCAACUUACCACCCCUUUCCCCUGCUUCACCCUGUUCGCGCAGCACCCCUCCCUCUCCUCGUUAUUUGCCGCCGCGAACCCCACCCCACUACCGUCGACCUGGCCGGCGAAAUCCGGCAGCACCGAGCCACCGAGCCACCCUCCACCCUUCUCUCUUUCCUCCCCUUCGUGCUUCCUCGUGCCUCCCCUGUUCCUUUGCCUCCCCUUUUCUUCGUAUCAGUUUCAAAAAAAAAAGAGAACGAUUUCCAGUAUUGGAACUUUGUUCCUUUUUGUUGCUCAAGCUAAGCCCAAAACUCUUAGGCCCAAACACCUCUAAGUAAGUUUUGCCAUGCAAUUUAAGCCCUAAAUAAAUUACUACUUAUUUUAGCAUUGUUAUAAAUAAAUAAAUGAUUUAGAAACUACUUUGAUUUAAAAUUUUGAUAAAUAUUUCAUGUGUUGAUUUAUGAAAAAUAUUAUUGAUUUUUAAGUAUUUUAUUGAUGUAUGAAAAUAUUUCAUGUAAUGAUUUAAUGGAAUUUAAUAAUACUUUAUUUAAGUUAUUUUAUGAAUUUAUAAACAAAAUAAUAAUAAUAAUAAUAAUAAUAAUAAUAUAAUAUUUAUAAAAAAAUAAUUAGUUUUAAAGUAGUUAUCGUUUUAAUACUAAUUCAAUGAUUAAAUACUUUAAAAGAAAUCAGACUCGGAGCUCAGGACGAACGGACCAACGAAAAGGCUUAGCAAAUCGUGGAAUUAAGGUACUGCUGGGGACCACGGAAACGAGUAGUGGCGAGGAUUUCACCAUUACCAUGUUCACCUAAGUCAAUGUUAAGUUGUAACAAGUUUAAGUAAAGAUUCUGGAUUAAGUUACGUACUUUUAUUAAGGAUUUAAAAAGGAUCAUUAUGUUAAUCUUGGAGUUUAAUUGCUUAUGAUUGAUGGUUGCCUUGUAAUUCCCAAGAGGGAGUUACGGCAGUAAUGUCCCGACCGAAUUAGGUUAAUUCCGCUGCUAAUUAUGCUUUAAUAAGUGAUUUAGAGGUCGGGGUGUUACAAAAUCGAUCAACUAAUUUUGAAGAAAAGUAUCCAACUUUGUUUUGAUUUUCGAAUAUGGGGUUUCAUAUUUGGAAAAGUUGUUGAUCGGCCACUAAUCUUGUGUCACCACCGUAAUUCGAUGUCAUUUGAUGUCGACGAAGACUCCAUCUAUAUGUGCACAUAUUUAAAAAAUAAAUAAACCCGAAUAAAAGUAAGAAACCGGGACAACGUCCGGACCACACACUAGUUUAUUAUACAUUGGAGCCGCCACAGGUGCAUGGCAAAGAGGCAAAACCACAAGACAAGGAAAAAUUAAGGUUUUACUUCUUGGAAAGUAUGAAAAGUUAUAAUUUGUGUGUUUUUCCAACUAAACAUCUCUAUUCGACUGUACAAGUAACACAAUUGAUACUUUUGGUUUGACAUUUGACUUGAUUCAAAAGGUCAAGCCACUUUUAGGAUGUGCCUCCAUCCCUCAAAUAGCUAAAUAAACUUGCAAUUUUUUUUGCCUUUACAGUUCGAGUUGGCUCAUGAGCAACUCUAAUUCCUAAAUUUUCACCUCCCACAAAACAUCCGGUCUCUUUCAUAAGUGGCAAUAAUUUUUUUGAUUUGUUUUUUUUUAUUGUUGUUGCUACGGGGGCGGGAUUGCAGAAUAAUUUGAACCUGAAACAUACAUACACAGAUCCUUAGUUUUAACCAUUAGAUCAAAAUCGCAUUAGUAUAGAUGAUAAUAGUAGAUUUAGCAUGACAACUCCAAUACAAAAUUACACGGAUUAGUGAGACGUGUCUAUUUAAACGAGUAAAACACGAAUUGAUUCACUCCCUAUCGGGUUAUAACUAGAUUUUCUUAUUAACCGAAAAGACAUUCUGGAUUAUAAUUUUAUUUUUAAAAGUUAAAAGGUUCAGACAUUCUUGAUUCUUCAGUUUCCAAAUAAAUCGAAGAAAGAAGUAGAUGCCACAGAGUAUUGUUCUUCCCCGUAAAACAAUAAAUAAAUCGGUUUUGAAGGAAGAAAAGGUCAUUGCCCCAUUUCCUGUCCCAAAAUCCAGACAAUAUUUUGAUCUUUCGAAAUUGGUUGAUGAAAGAAGGUGGAAGUAUGUGAUCAUCCCAUUCAACCCAACGGCAUUCUACAUAGUACGAAUCAUAUGAUUGAUGAUAUGGAACAAGAACUGAGAGUUGCUUCCAUUGUUGAUACUAGAUUUCCCGGUAAGAACAAAGACUCAAGACCAAAACCAGACCCCCAUCGACCUCUUUUGUUUACUGCAAAGGAACUUAGUUCCAGCAUCAUAGCCUCAGAAAGUACACGUACCAUAUGUUCUGUUUCAGUAGCUCUGCUAGUGGUUCUAUCUUUCAUCGAUUAUCCCUUACUUGGAAUUAAUAUCGUGAAUUCAAAGAGCAUCAUUGCUUUGAGGCCACUAUAUAUGCUGUUAGUGACAGAAUUCACUGUCAUAAUUUCAUACCUUGUUUUAGAAAGACGAAAUUCUGUAUCAUUUGAAGAAGAUAGAAAGGGUUCAAAGGGAGGUGGAGUUAAUUGGGAAAGAGCAGAGUUUCUGUUAGAGGGAGGUGUUGUGUUUCAUCAAACGGUACGUGCUGUGUUUAUCGAUUUGAGUGUUUACGUUGUGCUUGUGAUCUGUAUUCUUUCUUUGGUAACUCGGAUUUAGCUUUGCUGAUGCUUUUGUUUGGGUUUAAUGCAGUAACUUGUUUAGUUUGAUUGUAAUACUGAAAUUUUCGGUAGGUUUUCUUUAUUUUUGUUGUAAAUGGAAAUUAACAGACUGCAAAAUAAGGCUGUAUAUAGAACUUUGGACACAAACAAAUACUGGGAUCCUUUUUCCUGAUGUUUACAGA